GUCCUGCCGAAGCACUUUCCCUGCCACAGGGGAUUCUGCUGAAGUCCGCGAUCCGAUGUCUGAAGAAGAAAGUUCAUCUUUUAACAAAAAGGUCGAAAGAGAUGGAUGGUGAGCUUCGCAGGUUGAGGGAGAGCCACUCUGAAGCCACCGCGGAGGCCACCCGCUUUCGGAACCUCCACGUGAAGGGUAUCAUGGAGUACAGCC
rnacentral:lncRNA from 1 species